rnacentral:rRNA from 1 species
UCGGGAAUUUUGGGCAAUGGGGGCAACCCUGAUCCAGCAAUGCCGCGUGAGUGAAGAAGGCCUUCGGGUUGUAAAGCUCUUUUGUCAGGGAAGAAACGGUAGUAGCGAAUAACUACUACUAAUGACGGUACCUGAAGAAUAAGCACCGGCUAACUACGUGCCAGCAGCCGCGGUAAUACGUAGGGUGCAAGCGUUAAUCGGAAUUACUGGGCGUAAAGCGUGCGCAGGCGGUUGUGUAAGUCAGAUGUGAAAUCCCCGGGCUCAACCUGGGAAUUGCAUUUGAGACUGCACGGCUAGAGUGUGUCAGAGGGGGGUAGAAUUCCACGUGUAGCAGUGAAAUGCGUAGAUAUGUGGAGGAAUACCGAUGGCGAAGGCAGCCCCCUGGGAUAACACUGACGCUCAUGCACGAAAGCGUGGGGAGCAAACAGGAUUAGAUACCCCAGUAGUCCCUGAGCGGGCUGGCAAGGCGCAU